rnacentral:rRNA from 1 species
AACGAACGCUGGCGGCAUGCCUAACACAUGCAAGUCGAACGAGACCUUCGGGUCUAGUGGCGCACGGGUGCGUAACGCGUGGGAACCUGCCCUUAGGUUCGGAAUAACUCCCCGAAAGGGGUGCUAAUACCGGAUAAUGUCUUCGGACCAAAGAUUUAUCGCCUUUGGAUGGGCCCGCGUUGGAUUAGCUAGUUGGUAGGGUAAAAGCCUACCAAGGCGACGAUCCAUAGCUGGUCUGAGAGGAUGAUCAGCCACACUGGGACUGAGACACGGCCCAGACUCCUACGGGAAGCAGCAGUGGGGAAUAUUGGACAAUGGGCGAAAGCCUGAUCCAGCAAUGCCGCGUGAGUGAUGAAGGCCUUAGGGUUGUAAAGCUCUUUUACCCGGGAUGAUAAUGACAGUACCGGGAGAAUAAGCUCCGGCUAACUCCGUA